ACCUGACUUGGCAAGGCGAGGCCGCGUAUUUAAUCAUUAUAUUUUCUGUAUUGCCACUGUGAUGACGCAUAUCAUAAAUUUCAUAUUAGGAUAAGCUUAGAAUGUAAUUUUCUAUAUUUAGAAUUUAAUAAUUAUUAGAAACUUAGAAGAUGAUACUUCGUUACUUGUAUCGUGAUAACUGAAAAUUAUUGGAUUUGAUUAUUAAAUAUAAAUUUUCGAGAACGCCAUAAUGAAAAAUAAUGCACUUUUGUAAACAAAAAUUGUAAUGAAGCCAAAAAGUGGUAAUCAAAUAAGUUGAGUUUGCUUAUCUGUCAUUAAAAUCAAGAAUCCAUUAUGACAUGUAAUAUAAGGAUGUACUCAGAGUGGAAAAUUUUUAGACACCCGUAUUAUCUCAAUGAUUUUGACAAACAGGCGACUUCUAAUCGUAUACACUGUUUUUACACCCACAAGAUCUUCGAUUGUAUUGUUUGUAAUUUGAAGUGAACGAAGUUUACAGAAGGACUAAUACAAUUAAUAAACUCUACGAAAUGGCCUCAUUUUCUCUCAGUAAUAUAUUUCUCGGCGAUAACUCUUAUAUAGUUGAUUAAAAUUGCUUAGCAUAGCAUUAUUUUGAAAAUUUUAUUAGACAGUAUCAAUAUUCUUAAUGCUACGAUGAAAAGCGAAUGUAAAAGUCAAAAUGUUUGGAAGUUUAUAUACUUAUCAAUUGAGUAGGUACUGGUAAUGUCUGUUAUUAUCUUCUAAGUAAUUUUUAUAAAUAGAUAUAGAUAUUAAUUUUUCCACUUGUAGGUAUAUUGUGUAAAAAUGUUAAUGUUUUAAAUUGAAUCGUAUAAUCGAUUAUAUAUUUUUAUAUGAGUAUUUAAAAGGAGUAAGUAGGUGAGUGUAGCACAUACAAAUGUGCUACACACAAGUAAAAACAGUAAUAAUUGAUGAGUACGAGUAGAGUUUUUUAAGAAAAAGGAGAUGUCUUUGUAAAUAUAAAAAUAGGAGAAGUCUCAUACUUUUACUAAAUAAACGAAUUUUUAUUAAAACUUGAAACCACAAUAAUAUUUAUUAACUCUUUAUUAUUAUUAUUUUUAAAGUAUUUAAUCGUUAUUAAAUUAUUUAAUGAUUUUUAGUAUCACUUUUUUGUUAGUUAAUUCUUACUUCCUUAGUAAAAUACGGACACUAAUCCGUAUUUACUUUCGACGAGUACUAAUUUUGAUUAUUAUCAUUUUAUUAGUUAACUUUUCGAAGGUUUUUGAUUCACUAAAAUCCUUAAAACUAUGAGGUUUCUUCUAGAGAUAUCUUAAAUGAUUUUUAUUUUAUUAGCUAACUUUUAUGAUUUGCAAA
rnacentral:misc_RNA from 1 species